rnacentral:rRNA from 1 species
CCUACGGGUGGCAGCAGUGAGGAAUAUUGGUCAAUGGACGGUAGUCUGAACCAGCCAAGCCGCGUGCAGGAUGACGGCCCUAUGAGUUGUAAACUGCUUUUGUACAAGGGUAAACCUGAAUACGUGUAUUCCGUUGCAAGUACUUUACGAAUAAGGAUCGGCUAACUCCGUGCCAGCAGCCGCGGUAAUACGGAGGAUCCAAGCGUUAUCCGGAUUUAUUGGGUUUAAAGGGUGCGUAGGCGGGUUGAUAAGUCAGUGGUGAAAUGUUGGGGCUUAACCCGGGAACUGCCGUUCAUACUGGUGACCUUGAGAGUAGAUGCGGUAGGCGGAAUGUAUGGUGUAGCGGUGAAAUGCUUAGAGAUCAUACAGAACACCGAUUGCGAAGGCAGCUUACCAAUCUGUAACUGACGUUGAUGCACGAAAGCGUGGGGAGCAAACAGGAUUAGAUACCCGGGUAGUC